rnacentral:rRNA from 1 species
GACGAACGCUGGCGGCGUGCUUAACACAUGCAAGUCGAGCGGUAAGGCCCUUUCGGGGGUACACGAGCGGCGAACGGGUGAGUAACACGUGGGUGACCUGCCCUCAGCUCUGGGAUAAGCCCGGGAAACUGGGUCUAAUACUGGAUAUGACUCCACGGUGCAUGCCGUGGGGUGGAAAGCCUUGUGCGGCUGAGGAUGGGCCCGCGGCCUAUCAGCUUGUUGGUGGGGUGAUGGCCUACCAAGGCGACGACGGGUAGCCGGCCUGAGAGGGCGACCGGCCACACUGGGACUGAGACACGGCCCAGACUCCUACGGGAGGCAGCAGUGGGGAAUCUUGCGCAAUGGGCGAAAGCCUGACGCAGCGACGCCGCGUGAGGGAUGACGGCCUGGUUGUAA